AACAGCCUGCCCACCCUGGA
rnacentral:snRNA from 1 species